rnacentral:rRNA from 1 species
UACGUAGGUGGCAAGCGUUGUCCGGAAUUAUUGGGCGUAAAGCGCGCGCAGGCGGUCCCUUAAGUCUGAUGUGAAAGUCCACGGCUCAACCGUGGAGGGUCAUUGGAAACUGGGGGACUUGAGUACAGAAGAGAAGAGUGGAAUUCCACGUGUAGCGGUGAAAUGCGUAGAGAUGUGGAGGAACACCAGUGGCGAAGGCGACUCUUUGGUCUGUAACUGACGCUGAGGCGCGAAAGCGUGGGGAGCAAACAGG